UUGAUUGGGUAAGUUCUCCUCCUCCCUGUCUUUUUUUUUUAAGAUUUAUUUAUUUUAUGCAUGUGUGUACACUGUCACUGUCUUCAGACACACCAGAAGAGCAUCCCAUUACAGAUGGUUGUGAGCCACCAUGUGGUUGCUGGGAAUUGAACUCAAGACCUCUGGAAGAGCAGUCAGUGCUCUUAACCUCUGAGCCACCUCUACAGCCCUCCCUGCUUUUUUUAUUUGUGGUCUGCCUUCUUUCUCCAUACCAUUUUGUUCCCUAUCCAUAGAUUGAUCCACUCAACCAUAAAUCAGAAUAUAGGUAAGUGAACAUGCAUUUGUUCUCCCUUGUUUCCUAAAUAACACACCCUGCAGCCAUUCACCUGGCAGGUACACCAUGUUAGAUGUGGUAAGUCAUCUAGAAGGGACUGAGCCAUGUGGGAGGAUAUAUGCCAGGUCUACAAGGACACUGUGUCAGUUACUUUUUUUGUUCCUGUGAGAAGCCACCCUUGAGCUCCCAAUCCUUCUCCAUCAUCCUCCUGGCUGUCAGAUAUAUCACCGUGCACCAUCACACCUGGUUACGAGCUGAGUAAUUUAUGGAGUGCUUUUCCUCUGUGGGUACCUAUGUACAUGUGUGGUGUGAGUUUGUGUCUAUGCGCUCACACGUGUGUGGGUGCACCUGUAAGGAGGGUUCCCAUGCAUGUAUGUAUGUGUGUGUAUGCACAGACCUAAAAUUAAUGUUGGGCAUCUUUGUCUAUUGCUUCCCACUUAUUUUCUGAGG
rnacentral:lncRNA from 1 species